rnacentral:rRNA from 1 species
CUUCGGGUCUAGCGGCGGACGGGUUAGUAACGCGUGGGAACGUACCCUUCUCUACGGAACAGUCCCGGGAAACUGGGUUUAAUACCGUAUACGCCCUUUUGGGGAAAGAUUUAUCGGAGAAGGAUCGGCCCGCGUUGGAUUAGGUAGUUGGUGGGGUAAUGGCCUACCAAGCCUACGAUCCAUAGCUGGUUUGAGAGGAUGAUCAGCAACACUGGGACUGAGACACGGCCCAGACUCCUACGGGAGGCAGCAGUGGGGAAUCUUCGGCAAUGGGCGCAAGCCUGACCGAGCCAUGCCGCGUGAGCGAUGAAGGCCUUAGGGUUGUAAAGCUCUUUCGCCAGGGAUGAUAAUGACAGUACCUGGUAAAGAAACCCCGGCUAACUCCGUGCCAGCAGCCGCGGUAAUACGGAGGGGGUUAGCGUUGUUCGGAAUUACUGGGCGUAAAGCGCGCGUAGGCGGAUUGGAAAGUUGGGGGUGAAAUCCCGGGGCUCAACCCCGGAACUGCCUCCAAAACUCCCAGUCUUGAGUUCGAGAGAGGUGAGUGGAACUCCGAGUGUAGAGGUGAAAUUCGUAGAUAUUCGGAAGAACACCAGUGGCGAAGGCGGCUCACUGGCUCGAUACUGACGCUG